rnacentral:tRNA from 1 species
GACCCCAUCGUCUAGUCGGCCUAGGACAGCGGAUUUUCAUUCCGCCAACACGGGUUCGAAUCCCGUUGGGGUCAC